UCCAAUGAGGUUCAUUCUCGUGUGUUAUGCAGCACAUUUGAGCUUCCACAAGAACCAAUGAGGUUCAUUCUCAUGUGUUACGCAGCACAUUUGAGCUUCCACAAGAACCAAUGAGGUUCAUUCUCAUGUGUUACGCUGCACGUUUGAGCUUCCACAAGAUCCAAUGAGGUUCAUUCUCAUGUGUUACGCAGCACGUUUGAGCUUCCACAAGAACCAAUGAGGUUCAUUCUCAUGUGUUACGCAGCAGGUUUGAGGUUCCAUAAGAUCCAAUGAGGUUCAUUCUCAUGUGUUACGCAGCACGUUUGAGCUUCCACAAGAACCAAUGAGGUUCAUUCUCAUGUGUUACGCAGCACAUUUGAGCUUCCACAAGAACCAAUGAGGUUCAUUCUCAUGUGUUACGCAGCACGUUUGAGCUUCCACAAGAACCAAUGAGGUUCAUUCUCAUGUGUUACGCAGCAGGUUUGAGCUUCCACAAGAUCCAAUGAGGUUCAUUCUCAUGUGUUACGCAGCACGUUUGAGCUUCCACAAGAACCAAUGAGGUUCAUUCUCAUGUGUUACGCAGCACGUUUGAGCUUCCACAAGAACCAAUGAGGUUCAUUCUCAUGUGUUACGCAGCAGGUUUGAGCUUCCACAAGAUCCAAUGAGGUUCAUUCUCAUGUGUUACGCAGCACGUUUGAGCUUCCACAAGAACCAAUGAGGUUCAUUCUCAUGUGUUACGCAGCAGGUUUGAGGUUCCAUAAGAUCCAAUGAGGUUCAUUCUCAUGUGUUACGCAGCACAUUUGAGCAUCUGCAAGAACCAAUGAGGUUCAUU